rnacentral:lncRNA from 1 species
UAAAUACAACAUGUUUUAUUAUAAUUACAUUUAAUAUAUUAAUCAAUAUGUUGUACGAAUGAAAAGAAAAUUAUCAUUUCACAAAAACAAAGGUUAAAAUAUAAUUUAUUAUGAUUAAGGAAAGAUAAAAUUAUUAUUCCAAUAUCCAUAACCAUAUAUAAUACAUUAAAAAUUAAUUGAAAAGCUGUAAAUGGAAAAGGAAUCACCAUUUAAGGAAUCAUUAUUUUUAAAUUUUUGGAUCAUUUCUUCUUGUAAAAGUUUCUAUCCAUACGUAACAAUAAAGUUAAAAUAGAAAAUGUAGUGACA